rnacentral:rRNA from 1 species
GAUGAACGCUGGCGGCGUGCCUAAUACAUGCAAGUCGAGCGAACAGACGAGGAGCUUGCUCCUCUGACGUUAGCGGCGGACGGGUGAGUAACACGUGGAUAACCUACCUAUAAGACUGGGAUAACUUCGGGAAACCGGAGCUAAUACCGGAUAAUAUAUUGAACCGCAUGGUUCAAUAGUGAAAGACGGUUUUGCUGUCACUUAUAGAUGGAUCCGCGCCGCAUUAGCUAGUUGGUAAGGUAACGGCUUACCAAGGCGACGAUGCGUAGCCGACCUGAGAGGGUGAUCGGCCACACGGGAACUGAGACACGGUCCAGACUCCUACGGGAGGCAGCAGUAGGGAAUCUUCCGCAAUGGGCGAAAGCCUGACGGAGCAACGCCGCGUGAGUGAUGAAGGUCUUCGGAUCGUAAAACGCUGUUAUUAGGGAAGAACAAAUGUGUAAGUAACUAUGCACGUCUUGACGGUACCUAAUCAGAAAGCCACGGCUAACUACGUG